rnacentral:rRNA from 1 species
GAUGAACGCUGGCGGCGUGCCUAAUACAUGCAAGUCGAGCGAACAGACGAGGGGCUUGCUCCUCUGACGUUAGCCGCGGACGGGUGAGUAACACGGGGAUAAUCUACUUAUAAGACUGGGAUAACUUCGGGAAACCGGAGCUAAUACCGGAUAAUAUAUUGAACCGCAUGGUUCAGUAGUGAAAGACGGUUUUGCUUGCACUUAUAGAUGGAUCGGCGCCGCAUUAGCUAGUUGGUAAGGUAACGGUUUACCAGGGGAACGAUGCGUAGCCGACGUGAGAGGGUGAUCGGCCCCACUGGAAGUGAGCGGCGACCCAGACUCCUACGGGAGGCCGCGGUAGGGAAUCUUGCGAACUGGGCGAAAGACUGCCGGAGCAACGCCGCGUGAGUGAUGAAGGUCUUCGGGUCGUAAAACUCUGUUAUUAGGGAAGAACAAAUGUGUAAGUAACUAUGCACGUCUUGACGGUACCUAAUCAGAAAGCCACGGCUACCUCCGG